CUUUCUGAUUGAGUGUAAGCUGCUAUAUGAAGGGAUCCACAAGACGAAUAAUUAAGGGGGACCUCUGAUCAACAGCCAGCAAGGAACUGAAUCCCUCAGACCCACAACUCACAAGAAACUGAAGCUGAAGCAGAUUCUUCCUCAGUCAAGCUUCAGAAAGAAAUCAUGAGUGACCACUCAGCUCAAGGCUUCUCUGCUGAUGCCAUCCACCACAUCAGGAAGCAGUAAGUGGCAGGGCCAUCUCAAGGAAGAGCCACCAGUCUCCAGGGAGUUUAGGUCUUAGAUGUGAAGCCUCAAGUAAUUUGCAGAGAUUGUCUUGCCUGUAUAACACACCCUGUUGUUGCUUUUAUACAGCCAAACUGACAGGGGUUUGUGAAUCAGAAUGAUGGCUUUGCAUUUUAGCUUAGGGAAGGACCUGCUUUGCAGAAAGGAUCUCAUUGAGAAUAGCAAAAGGAAGUUGGGAACCAUUACAGUGCCCAGCUGUAUUGGUAGAGGAGACCAACCACACCCUCCACAGCACAGCACCUGGAGAGGAACUGCUGCCAUGACCAUAGAGGACACCCUCUGGAUACAAUGCCAGACUUGAUGUGGGACUGACCAACCUAUGGACCCCAGGCACCACCACCCAGACCUGCUCAGCACCUGAAACAUUCACAGCCGUGGAGAGAGAACUGUUCACUGCUACCAUCCACACUUCUGGGCCCCUUCAGCAGCAGGGUGACAAGGAAGAGGGAAAUCGACUUGGAAAAGAGGGGACCUCUGACCCAAGAGUUCGGUCAAUGCAUAUGUUGGCAGCCAGCUGCACAUCGCACCAAAUAUGAACUUCAAAUAGAAGAAAGCCUCAUUUGGAAGAAAGCUCAUGCACAGACUGUAAAUAUUUCAGAGCAGAUUGUGUCUCUGUAGAUUAAGUAAGUUGUGAAAGUCUGAACCUCUGCCAAAAUUUUAAGACCUUGACCUUUA
ensembl:lncRNA MIR3976HG MIR3976 host gene